rnacentral:snoRNA from 1 species
AACCUCCAAAUUUCUUACCCCUCAAAUCCAAAUACUGGUCUGAGUGGCCAAAAAAAGAGGAAAAAUCAAAUGGAAGUGGACUUGGAGUCUUUAGUGACCUAAAGUUCAUUACAAAAAAGA